GGUAGAGGGAGGGUAUUUCUUUUCAUGCUUGAUCAUCCACGACAAAGGAGAAAGAGAGUUUUGGAAGAGAAUGGCGCAAGUGAUGGUGAUGGCAACAGCUUCCGGGAAGAGUUUGCUCGCUCAUGGGCUUCAUUCUGAGCAGCGCCUUCGGAUUCGAUGCUCCAGCUCGAGCAGUGACGAAGAAUCGUCGUCGCCCAGCACAAGUGGGAGGAGCAAAUUGGGGAGAGUGAUCUUCUCAGCAAUCGCAGCUGGAAUUCUUCUCGCAGCUCCAUCUUCAUCUGAUCCUGCCGACACCGUCGCCAUCGCAGCUCCCUCUGGCGGUAGAAUUGGAGGUCAGUCCUUCCGUUCCGCUCCAAGAAUGGCGCCAAGAGUGGCUCCACCGCCAAGAUCAGCUCCUCCUCCUCGAUCCGGCCCCAGAAUCAACAAUUCCAGGACAAACAUCUACGUGAAUCCUGGCUAUGGCUAUGGCGGCUAUGGGAAUCCAUUCUUCGGUGGCGGAUGGGGAUUGUCCCCAUUCUCGUUCUUCGCUCCGCCCGCUCCGGCAGUGGCUGUAGGCGUCGGUGGAUUCGAUUUCGUUCCAUUGCUGCUGGGAUUACUGGCCGUGGGAUGGAUCUCUAGGGUUCUUCGCAACAGGAGAGACGAGGACGAAGGAGAUGAUUACUAGUAAACAGAAAUUUUUGUAUUAUAAUCGCGUAAAUAUCUGACGGUCAAUAUAAGCUCAAAUGGAAGGCUGUCGUUAGCGCUACGUGGCGGCAUCCGAAUGGUGCUAGGCUUGGAUCCAUCGUGGCCGUUGCUACGCUCUAUCCAUUUGAGGGAUUAUUGUGGCGGGCGUGGAGGAGGAGAGGCGAGGCGCGCGAUCUUCGACCAGCGCCCAGGCGCGGCAAGAGAUCGAGAGCAGUGAUUCCAUCCCGCCAGGGUUUUAGGGUUUAUCGGGCAUGGCGUGCUGCACGGCAGUCACGUCCUCGGCAGCGGCAGCGAGCGGCACCACUUUCCAGGCCGCCAAGCCUUCGAUUACCCCCUCCCGGUCGCCAGUGGCUCUAGGAUUCGGCUUCUCACACUCGCAACAGAGCUUCCACCAGGCAUUGCAAGCCGAGAUUUUCAGAGAGCGUGUCCCCGGGCGGAGGUCCUCUUCCUCGCUGGUGGUCCGCGCGGCAAAGGGGAAAUUCGAGAGGAAGAAGCCGCACGUCAACAUCGGCACAAUCGGGCAUGUGGAUCACGGCAAGACCACCUUGACAGCGGCGCUAACUUUCAUUGGAAUCGGUGGUGGAAAGCCCAAGAAGUAUGACGAGAUCGACGCUGCUCCGGAGGAGAAAGCUCGCGGGAUCACCAUCAACACGGCGUGCGUGGAGUAUGAGAGCGAGGAGCGGCACUACGCUCACGUCGAUUGCCCCGGCCAUGCCGACUACGUCAAGAACAUGAUCACUGGAGCAGCGCAGAUGGACGGGGCCAUCCUGGUCGUGUCUGGAGCCGAUGGGCCGAUGCCACAGACGAAAGAACACGUCCUCCUGGCCAAGCAAGUCGGGGUGCCGAGCAUGGUCGUGUUCCUCAACAAGCAGGACAUGGUGGACGACGAGGAGCUCCUCCAGCUCGUGGAGCUCGAGGUCCGCGAGCUUCUCAACUCGUACGAGUUCCCGGGAGACGACGUCCCCGUGGUAUCUGAUCAGCUCUCACGCUCUCACGGCGCUGACGAGCAACAAGGAGAUCAAGCGAGGGGACGAUAAGUGGGUGGACAAGAUCUACGAGCUCCGGGACGCGGUGGACAAGUACAUCCCGAUUCCUCCACGGCAGACCGACCUCCCGUUCCUCAUGGCGAUCGAGGACGUGUUUUCGAUCACCGGGCGUGGAACUGUGGCCACGGGACGGGUCGAGAGGGGCACCGUCAAGGUUGGCGAGGUGGUCGAGAUCGUUGGCCUGGGCGAUACGAGGAACACGACGGUGACCGGGUGCGAGAUGUUCAAGAAGGAGCUGGAUGAGGCACUGGCUGGCGAUAACUGUGGAUUGCUCUUGAGAGGCAUCCAAAAGGCGGACAUCCAGAGGGGAAUGGUGCUCGCCAAGCCCGGAUCGAUCCAGCCGUUUAGCAAGUUCGAGGCGCAAGUCUACGUGCUCAAGAAGGAAGAAGGUGGACGCCACUCGCCAUUCUUCUGUGGCUACAGGCCCCAGUUCUACAUGAGAACGACGGACGUGACGGGCAAGGUGAUCGAGGUGACCGGUGAGAAAGGGGAGGAAUCCAAGAUGGUGAUGCCGGGUGAUCGCGUCAACAUGAAGGUGGAUCUCAUCACCCCGAUCGCGUGCGAGAAGAAGAUGAGAUUUGCGAUUCGCGAGGGUGGCAAGACCGUCGGUGCUGGAGUGAUCCUCAACGUUAUGAAGGAGUGAGUUGAUUCAAUGGAGGUGGAGAGGUAUGCAGGUCUGUGUCAUUCUUCCAGUAUUUUUCCAGUUACUAAGGUCAAGAGCAAGGCAGGCAUUGGCGAGUUUUUGGGAAAGUAAUCAAAGAACUAGUGUUCGUCCAAGGGUCAAAAAUUAGUCGAAACUAGUCAAUGUUAACUGUUGGACAGUGAGAAUAUUCUAAUGAUUCAUGUGCAAGAA